AUUGAACGCUGGCGGCAGGCCUAACCCAUGCAAGUCGAACGAGUGGCGGACGGGUGAGUAAUGGCUGGGAAACUGCCUGAUGGAGGGGGAUAACUACUGGAAACGGUAGCUAAUACCGCAUACCAUCGGAUGUGCCCAGAUGGGAUUAGCGAGUGGGUGGGGUAACGGCUCACCUAGGCGACGAUCCCUAGCUGGUCUGAGAGGAUGACCCGCAACACUGGAACUGAGACACGGUCCAGACUCCUACGGGAGGCAGCAGUAGGGAAUAGUGCACAAUGGGCGCAAGCCUGAUGCAGCCAUGCCGCGUGGAUGAAGAAGGCCUUCGGGUUGUAAAGUACUUUCAGCGGGGAGGCGUUACCCGCAGAAGAAGCACCGGCUAACUCCGUGCCAGCAGCCGCGGUAAUUC
rnacentral:rRNA from 1 species